rnacentral:lncRNA from 1 species
UCAGACGCAUUGCAGCCUCCAACACACUUUAUAACUAGUGGAGCGUUCUUCAGAUUUUUCCAUAAGCAACGAGGGGUACAUGCUAUUUCCCCACCUGUAUAAAUGCGUAAAGCUAAAGGUAAAGGGACCCCUGACCAUUAGGUCCAGUCGUGGCCGACUCUGGGGUUGUGGCGCUCAUCUCGUUUUAUUGGCCGAGGGAACCGGCGUACAGCUUCCGAGUCAUGUGGCCAGCAUGACUAAGACACUUCUGGCGAACCAGAGCAGCGCACGGAAACGCCGUUUACCUUCCUGCCAGAGUGGUACCUAUUUAUCUACUUGUACUUUGACGUGCUUUUCGAACUGCUAGGUUGGCAGAAGCUGGGACCGAGCAACGGGAGCUUACCCCGUUGCGGGGAUUCGAACCGCCAACCUUCUGAUCGGCAAGUCCUAGGCUCUGUGGUUUAACCCACAGCGCCACCCACGUCCCUGUAUAAAUGGGUAGUGUAACACAAUCAGGAAGCUAACGGCACCUGAUUUCUGUCUCCUUUGAGAUGAACGGCAACUGGUGUGUGACCUUCCCCUUUCUCCUCUUCCCAUAUCAGCACAGAAGCCUCUUACCUUCUUCGGUUUUUAAUUGACAGAGAAUACGGUCAGCGGCACACCGCUGAGAAUUGAUGCGGAAAGAUGCGCAGCAAGUUCCCAAAUGUCACACUCAACUGCCCGGAAGGCAUGGGGAAAUCGGCAGCUGCAGGAGGAAAUAAUCUGCAAAAGCAGCCUCAAACACGCAGCUUCCAAGGGAGGAGGCCUCUUCCGAGUUGCACGCUGUGAUGGGAGGCACACGGGCUGCCGACUCACCUUCUGGAGGGACACAGAGCACAGGGGGCUGCCUUGUGCUGAGCUGGACCACUGUUCCAUGUAGCUCAAUAUUGCCUACACUGUCUAACAGCAAGAUUUGAGGCCAGGAUCUUUCCCUGCCCUACCUGGAGACGCCGGGGAUUGAACCUGUGACCUCCUGCAUGCAAAGCAGAGGCUAUACCACUGAGCUACCUCCCUUCCUAGUGGACAGUUCUUAGACAGAUGGACUAUGUCAGGACUGUGUGCAGGAGCCAGGCCCUGUGACCAGUAGGACUAUGCAGGACUGGGGCCUUCCUAAGUUUGUUCUGAAGAGGCAAGGCACGGCAGCACAGGUGAGGCUGAUUGGUAACUCACAGCACCUGGUGGCAAGAGCUGGGAAGGGAUAUAAGGUCAGCAUUUCCCUUUGGCUCUUUGCCACAGCAGCAUGUUCCCUGCCUUGCCGUGUUUGACUCCUUGACUCCUUGCUUCUUGAUCUUUGGACCCUUGACUUCGUGACUCCUUGCUUCUUGAUCUUUGGACCCUUGACUUCGUGAUCCUUGCUUCUUGAUCCUCGGACCCUUGACUUUGUGACUCCUUGCUUCUUGAUCUUCGGACCCCUGACUUUGUGACUCCUUGCUUCUUGAUCCUCGGACCCUUGACUUCGUGACUCCUUGCUUCUUGAUCCUCAGACCCUUGACGUCGUGACUCCUUGCUUCUUGAUCCUCGGACCCUUGACGUCGUGACUCCUUGCUUCUUGAUCCUCGGACCCUUGGCUUCCUGACUCCUGGUUCUGGACUCCCGUUCCUGCUCCCACCCCACCAUCUUGCCCCCGAUCCCAACGUCCCCAGCCGGGACUUUGAUCGCCCGUGAACCGGACCAUGACAGACUAAAAGCCUGACCUAUGAGGAGCAGUUGAAGGAGCUGUGUAUGUUUAGCCUGGAAAAGAAGAGAUAUGAUGGCCAUCUUCAAAUAUCUCAAGGGCUGUCCCAUGGAAGAAGGAACAAGCUUGUUUUCUCCUGCUCUGGAGGGUAGGACCAGAACCAAUGGAGUCAAGUUGCAAGAAAGGAGAUUCCAACUCAACAUUCAGAGAAACUUUCUGACAGCAAGAGCUGUUUGACAGUAGAAUCGUCUCCCACGAGUAGCGGUGGACUCUCCUUCCUUGGAGUUUUUUAACCAAAGGUUGGAUGGCCUUCUGUCAUGAACGCUUUAGCUGAGAUUCCUGCAAUGCAGGGGGUUGGACUUGAUGACCCUCAGGGUCCCUUCCAACUCUAUGAUUCUGUGACCUGAUAUAAGCAUCUUAAAUCCUAUGCUCGCAUCUUCGGGGGAUGAUGUUCACAGGUGCAUAGAGAAGCCCUGUAAUAUGAGGAAACUAGGACAGGCAGGCAGGAGGAGCAUCAGACAUUUCUUCCUCCUGGAGGAAAGGCCUUGUUUUCUCAAGCUUGGGGGGGGGGAGGAAAAGGUAAAGGACCCCUGGACAGUUAAGUCCAGUCAAAGGCAACUAUGGGGCUGCGGCACUCAUCUCGCUUUCAGGCCGAGGGAACCGGCGUUUGUCCACAGAGAGCUGUUUGGGUCAUGUGGCCAGCAGGACUAAACCACUUCUGGUGCAACGGAACACCAUGAUGGAAACCAGAGCACACAGAAACGCUGUUUACCUUCCCACCACAGUGGUAUCUAUUUAUCUACUUGCACUGGUGUGCUUUCAAACUGCUGGGUUGGCAGGAGCUGGGACAGAGCAAUGGGAAUUCACCCCGUCAUAGGGAUUCGAACUGCUGACCUUCCGAUCAGCAAGCCCAAGAGCCUCAGUGGUUUAGACCACUGUGCCAGCCCAGUCUAGCAGCCUCCAACUCCUCUAAUUCUUAGUAGGAACAUCAGAAGGUGCCUCAGACCAUUGGCUCAGUGUUGUCUGCACAGUUUCUCCCUAGGAAUUCAGCCAGCGCUACCUGCAGAUGCUGGGGAUGGAAACUGGGACCUUCUGCAUGCAAAGCAGGUGUCCCACUACUAAGCUGUGGCCUUUCUUCUGGCAGUUAGAGGGCGACACCACAGCAGCAACCUCUGCCCUCAGCAUGCCCACAUCCAUUGUAAGGACUGGCACCUACUGGCCAUCCUUUUACACCUAUGAAUGCACAAAUAUCAGGUCAGAUAUUGCCCCAUAAACAUGUGUGUGCAAUGGGCAUGCUGUCCAUGUCCAGAAUUUUUUUUAGGAAUUCCACUUUCUCAGAUACUGUUUUAAAGAACAGCCAUGUGCUUGUGCUUAGAAAGAGCUUUCGUUUCCCCUAUUCCCCCCACAAUACUCAAAGUUCCCUGGGAAGAGAAUUGCAAGAGGAUUAGGGGGUCUACAAAGAACAAAGACCACAAACUUGACAUGAGCCAACAGUGUGAUGCGGCAGCUAAAAAAGCCAAUGCAAUUCUGGGCUGCAUCAAUAGGAAUAUAGCAUCUAGAUCAAGGGAAGUAAUAGUGCCACUGUAUUCUGCUCUGGUCAGACCUCACCUGGAGUACUGUGUCCAGUUCUGGGCACCACAGUUCAAGAAGGACACUGACAAACUGGAACGUGUCCAGAAGAGGGCAACCAAAAUGGUCAAAGGCCUGGAAACGAUGCCUUAUGAGGAACGGCUAAGGGAGCUGGGCAUAUUUAGCCUGGAGAAGAGGAGGUUAAGGGGUGAUAUGAUAGCCAUGUUCAAAUAUAUAAAAGGAUGUCACAUAGAGGAGGGAGAAAGGUUGUUUUCUGCUGCUCCAGAGAAGCGGACACGGAGCAAUGGAUCCAAACUACAGGAAAGAAGAUUCCACCUAAACAUUAGGAAGAACUUCCUGACAGUAAGAGCUGUUCGACAGUGGAAUUUGCUGCCAAGGAGUGUGGAGGAGUCUCCUUCUUUGGAGGUCUUUAAGCAGAGGCUUGACAACCAUAUGUCAGGAGUGCUCUGAUGGUGUUUCCUGCUUGGCAGGGGGUUGGACUCGAUGGCCCUUGUGGUCUCUUCCAACUCUAUGAUUCUAUGAUUCUAACUCUCUGAGCCCUUAAACUACAUUUCCCAGGAUUCUUUGGGGGGAACCAUGAUUGCUGAAAGUGGCAUGAUACUUAAGUGCAUAGUGCAGACGGAGCCAUAGUGAGAUACGCUGGGUUAGUAGAAGAGCAAAGGGCCUUUGCAGUAGUGCCUCCCCCUCCCCAGUUAUGGAAAACCAUCCCCAGGGAGACCCAUAAGAUACCUCCUCCAAUAUCUUUUCAGCCCCUGAGAAAGUCAAUUUAAUUUCCCCAGGCCUUUUGAACUACGUUGCUGUUCUAAUAUUGUUCAGCUCUAAGGAUUCUUAUCCCUCUGCUCUCCAUUUUAAAAUCCGUACGUCUGUUUGUUUAUAUUUUGAUACCCUUCAUUUUGAAUUAACCAUUUCGGUUUUAUUACUGAUGUGUUCUUCCACUUGUUGCUUUUAACGGAAUGAUUAUUGCUCAAAGAGAUUGUCUAUUUGUCACACAAGCCAUUCGCUGGACCAGUAUUUUAAGGCGGCACGAAAAAUAAUGUAAAUAAAUUAAUAGUUCUAAUUUGUGGGAUAAGAACAGAAUCCCUUGAUGCCCAGAGAAAGGAGCUGCUAUCGAAGCAAGCUGGCAAUUACUAUUAAAGAGAACAUGACACACAAACACCGCAAUAAGAGCUCCAGUUAUAAACAGCUGCUCAUAAGCGCACACAUCGAUUCUUGAUUUCAUCACAGAGGCAGUUUAAAAGGGCUCGCAGUUUCCUUUCCUUUUUUAAGGAGAUGAACUGCACAGAUCUAAACAUAAACCGCUCAGGUCCCGCCUUGUGUCUCAUGAAACUUCAUCAAGGCUGCAGACUUAAGCAUUUUUACAAGGAAAUUGUCCUCAUUUGAUUCCAUGGGACUUACUUCUGAGGAAACUCCACCAGAUUGGGCUUAUGCCCAAUUAUUUUUACAUUUGGCACUUUACAAGCCAAAGAGACAGGAAGUUUCCAGAAGAUGAGGAAGUGAGAGGUAUAAAUAACACUCCCUUAGUUAGAGGGCAACACCCCAAAGUCAGC